AUUGAACGCUGGCGGCAUGCGUAACACAUGCAAGUCGAACGGUGUAUAGUGCUUGCACUAUACAGAGUGGCGGACGGGUGAGUAAUGCGUAGGAAUCUGUUUUAGAGAGGGGGAUAACUGAGGGAAACCUUGGCUAAUACCGCAUAGACUCGGGAGAGGAAAGCAGGGGACUGUAAGAGGCCUUGCGCUUUAGAGUGAGCCUACGUCAGAUUAGCUAGUGGUAGGGUAAAGGCCUACCAAGGCGAUGAUCUGUAGCUGGUCUGAGAGGACGGACAGCCACACUGGGACUGAGACACGGCCCAGACUCCUACGGGAGGCAGCAGUGGGGAAUAUUGGACAAAUGGGGGC
rnacentral:rRNA from 1 species